AGCCUUUAGCUAAACAACUAUUAAAGGUGAUGCCUGCCCAGUGACUCAUUAAACGGCCGCGGGAUCCUCCACCGUGCAAAGGUAGCAUAAUCACUUGUCCUCUAAAUAGGGACUAGUAUGAACGGCCACAUGAAGAUUUUCCUGUCUCUUGUAGAAAAUCUAUGAAAUUGAUCUUUCAGUACAAAAGCUGAAAUUUAACCACAAGACGAAAAGACCCUGUGGAACUUUUUAAACGGCAACCACUAUUAAUGGUUACACCCGCUUUUAGUUGGGGCAACUACGGAAAUAAACAAAACUUCCAUCACCAUAUUAUAGGCGGACACACCAGUAAUUAUACCUUCAGACCCAGUAUUACUGACAAAAGAACCAAGCUACCCCAGGGAUAACAGCGCCAUCCCCUCUUAGAGCCCCCAUCGACGAGGGGGUUUACGACCUCGAUGUUGGAUCAGGGCCCCCAAACAGUGCAGCAGCUGUUAACGGUUUGUUUGUUCAACAAUUAAUGCCCU
rnacentral:rRNA from 1 species